UACGUAGGGUGCGAGCGUUAAUCGGAAUUACUGGGCGUAAAGCGUGCGCAGGCGGUUUUGUAAGCCAGAUGUGAAAGCCCCGGGCUUAACCUAGGAAUGGCAUUUGGGACUGCAAGGCUUGAGUGCGGCAGAGGAGACUGGAAUUCCUGGUGUAGCAGUGAAAUGCGUAGAUAUCAGGAGGAAUACCGAUGGCGAAGGCAGGUCUCUGGGCUGACACUGACGCUCAUGCACGAAAGCGUGGGGAGCAAACAGG
rnacentral:rRNA from 1 species